rnacentral:rRNA from 1 species
CCUACGGGAGGCAGCAGUGGGGAAUAUUGGGCAAUGGGCGGAAGCCUGACCCAGCAACGCCGCGUGAAGGAAGAAGGCUUUCGGGGUGGAAACUUCUUUUGUCAGGGAGGAGAAGACGACGGUACCUGACGAAUAAGCCACGGCUAACUACGUGCCAGCAGCCGCGGUAAUACGUAGGUGGCAAGCGUUGUCCGGAUUUACUGGGUGUAAAGGGCGUGUAGCCGGGUUGACAAGUCCGAUGUGAAAUCCUGCGGCUUAACCGGAGAACUGCAUUUGAAACUGUUGAUCUUGAGUACUGGAGAGGCAGACGGAAUUCCUGGUGUAGCGGUGAAAUGCGUAGAUAUUAGGAGGAACCCCAGUGGCGAAGGCGGUCUGCUGGACAGCAACUGACGGUGAGGCGCGAAAGCGUGGGGAGCAAACAGGAUUAGAUACCCCUGUAGUC